rnacentral:rRNA from 1 species
GACGAACGCUGGCGGCGUGCUUAACACAUGCCAGUCGAACGGAAAGGCCCCUUUGGGGGUACUCGAGUGGCGAACGGGUGAGGAAGACGUGAGUAACCUUCCCUUGACUUCGGGAUAACUUCAGGUAACUGGGGCUAAUACCGGAUAGGAAUCCUUGCUGCAUGGGGGGGGUUGGAAAGCUUCGGCGGGUUUUGAUGGACUGGCGGCUUAUCAGCUUGCUGGUGGGGUAGUGGCUUACCAAGGCUGUGACGGGUAGCCGGCCUGAGAGGGUGACCGGCCACAUUGGGACUGAGAGGCGGCCCAGACAGCUACGGGAGGGAGAAGUGGGGAAGCUUGAACAAGGGGCGGCGGGCUGAUGAAGAAACGCCGCGGGCGGGAUGACGGUCUUCGGGUUGUAAACCGAAUUCAGCAGGGGCGAAGCUUGUGGUGACGGUACCUGCAGAAGAAGCAACGGCUAACUACGUG